rnacentral:lncRNA from 10 species
CUUCCUUCCUAUCAAGCCAUGGACUAAUGAUUAAGGAGUGGGACCAUUUAUCAGACCUGUCUAGUCUAUGAAUUCCACCCCAAGGGCCACAGUUGUGCACGGGCAUUGAGCCAAUCCCUGGACUUCUGCUGGCACGUGGGAGGAAGGACUCUCUCUUUCCAUGAGGAUUGCUGAGAGGAAGCCUAGGGCUGCCAGCAAUCAUCCUGCCACCGCACGGGAGGUGCACACCUGAAUGAAGGUAACAGCCGCAGAGAGCAAAGCCCACAUGGAGGAGCCAGGACAGGAUGGGGACAACAAGGCUUGAGCCCCUAGAUCCGGGCAUGCCUGGCCUUUUAGAUAACCAAUUUCUGCGAAGAAGUGCUU